CUACAGUGAUUCCAGCACACAGGUCCUACAGUGGCAAUCCCAUUAGCAGUUUCUAUCCCAGCCCCACAGUUAAUUCAGCACCAGCCCCACAGUGGCUAUCAAAGACGCAGGCAAAAUCCCUAAGCCGUUUCAGCUCCCCUGCUACGGUCCCAUUAUUUUGCCCCUACCCAUCUUGUUCUAUUUCCAGUCACAGGACCCAGCCCCAACAUCCAUAUCCCAGGCCUACAGUGAUUCCAGCACACAGAUCCUACAGUGGCUAUGUCAUUGUCAGUCCCUAUCCCAGCCCCACAGUGAUUUCAGCUCUUGGCCCACAAGCUUUAUUUCACUGCAAGCUCUUCUUCCGGCUCCAGAUGCGUGUUUCUUCAGUGCUGCUGGCUGAAACUUCUCCAGCUCCAGAUGCGUGUUUCUUCAAUGCUGCUGGCUGAAACUUCUCCAGCUCCAGAUGCGUGUUUCUUCAAUGCUUCGGGCUGAAACUUCUCCAGGUACAAGGCGCAGGAUCUUCCUCCUGUCUCCAGCUCGGCAACAUUUCAGCUCCCACCCUAGGGCCUAGAAGCCCACCCAAAAGUCAAUGUCCCCGCCCCACUGUGAAUUCAGCACCAGCGCUACAGUGGCUAUCAAAGACGCAGGCAAAAUCCCUAACCCGUUUCAGCUCCCCUGUUACAGUCCAAUUAUUUUGCCCCUACCCAUCUUGUUCUAUUUCCAGUCAC
rnacentral:lncRNA from 1 species